rnacentral:snRNA from 1 species
AGAUCCACAUUGCAUCGGGUA